rnacentral:tRNA from 2 species
GGGGGUGUAGCUCAGCUGGGAGAGCAUCUGCCUUGCAAGCAGAGGGUCAGGAGUUCGAUUCUCCUCAUCUCCACCA